rnacentral:rRNA from 1 species
UGGGGAAUAUUGCACAAUGGGCGAAAGCCUGAUGCAGCAACGCCGCGUGAGUGAUGAAGGCCUUCGGGUUGUAAAGCUCUGUCUUCUGGGACGAUAAUGACGGUACCAGAGGAGGAAGCCACGGCUAACUACGUGCCAGCAGCCGCGGUAAUACGUAGGUGGCAAGCGUUGUCCGGAUUUACUGGGCGUAAAGGAUGCGUAGGCGGAUACUUAAGUCAGAUGUGAAAAUCCCGGGCUUAACUUGGGAACUGCAUUUGAAACUGGGUAUCUAGAGUGCGGGAGAANAAAGUGGAAUUCCUAGUGUAGCGGUGAAAUGCGUAGAGAUUAGGAAGAACACCAGUGGCGAAGGCGACUUUCUGGACCGUAACUGACGCUGAGGCAUGAAAGCGUGGGGAGCAAACA